UACGAAGGGGCUAGCGUUGCUCGGAAUUACUGGGCGUAAAGCGCACGUAGGCGGCUUGUUAAGUCAGGGUGAAAUCCUGGAGCUCAACUCCAGAACUGCCUUGAUACUGGCGAGCUUGAGUCGGAGAGUGAGUGAACUGCGAGUGUAGAGUGAAUUCGUAGAUAUUCGCAGACACCAGUGCGAGCGCUCACUGCCGAUACUGACGCUGAGUGCGAAGCGUGGAGCGAACAG
rnacentral:rRNA from 1 species